rnacentral:rRNA from 1 species
AGUCGAACGGUAACAGGAAGCAGCUUGCUGCUUYGCUGACGAGUGGCGGACGGGUGAGUAAUGUCUGGGAAACUGCCUGAUGGAGGGGGAUAACUACUGGAAACGGUAGCUAAUACCGCAUAACGUCGCAAGACCAAAGUGGGGGACCUUCGGGCCUCAKGCCAUCAGAUGUGCCCAGAUGGGAUUAGCUAGUUGGUGRGGUAACGGCUCACCAAGGCRACRAUCCCUAGCUGGUCUGAGAGGAUGACMAGCCACACUGGAACUGAGACACGGUCCARACUCCUACGGGAGGCAGCAGUGGGGAAUAUUGCACAAUGGGCGCAAGCCUGAUGCASCCAUGCCGCGUGUAUGAAGAAGGCCUUCGGGUUGUAAAGUACUUUCAGUGAGGAGGAAGGCRUGAUGCUUAAUACGCAUCGBGAUUGACGUUACUCACARAARAAGCACCGGCUAACUCCGUGCCAGCAGCCGCGGUAAUACGGAGGGUGCAAGCGUUAAUCGGAAUUACUGGGCGUAAAGCGCACGCAGGCGGYCUGUUAAGUCAGAUGUGAAAUCCCCGGGCUCAACCCGGGAACUGCAUUUGAAACUGGCAGGCUUGAGUCUCGUAGAGGGGGGUAGAAUUCCAGGUGUAGCGGUGAAAUGCGUAGAGAUCUGGAGRAAUACCGG